GUGUUUGCUUCAGCAGCACAUAUAUUAAAAUUAACAAUACAGAGAAGAUUAGCAUGGCCUCUGAACAACAGUGAUAUCUAUACAAGGAUGAUAUGAAAUUUGU
ensembl:snRNA U6 U6 spliceosomal RNA